GUGGGGAAUAUUGGACAAUGGGCGCAAGCCUGAUCUAGCCAUGCCGCGUGAGUGAUGAAGGCCCUAGGGUUGUAAAGCUCUUUCAGCUGGGAAGAUAAUGACGGUACCAGCAGAAGAAGCCCCGGCUAACUCGGUGCCAGCAGCCGCGGUAAUACGGAGGGGGCUAGCGUUGUUCGGAAUUACUGGGCGUAAAGCGCGCGUAGGCGGACCAGAAAGUUGGAGGUGAAAUCCCAGGGCUCAACCUUGGAACUGCCUUCAAAACUCCUGGUCUGGAGUUCGAGAGAGGUGAGUGGAAUGCCGAGUGUAGAGGUGAAAUUCGUAGAUAUUCGGAGGAACACCAGUGGCGAAGGCGGCUCACUGGCUCGAUACUGACGCUGAGGUGCGAAAGCGUGGGGAGCAAACAGGAUUAGAAACCCGUGUAGUCC
rnacentral:rRNA from 1 species